rnacentral:sRNA from 1 species
GCUGGGUGUGGUGGUGCAUGCCUGUAAUCCCAGAGGCUCAGGAGGCUGAGGCAGGAGGACUGCAAAUUCAAAGCCAGCCUCAGCAAAAGUGAGGUACUAAGCAACUCAGUGAGACCCUGUCUCUA